rnacentral:lncRNA from 1 species
UCCAUCAUGUGCAUGCACCACGUUUUGUUUCUUUGUUCAUCCGUCAGUGAACACUUGAGUUUCUCUCAGCCCUUGGCUACUGUGAAUAGGGCUGCUAUGAACAUGGGUGUACAUAUCUUUGUAUGUCCCUGCUUUUGCUUUUGGGGGGUCUACAGACUAUUUUUUAAAGGAUAACAUAGUGUAAAUCAUCGCCUGCAUACUUCCUAAUCGGCUUGGGCUAAUGGACUUGGGCUAAUGGAGCAACUGUCCUUCCGCAGAGAGGUGGGGACAUGCAGGGCAGUGAUUUGUUC